rnacentral:rRNA from 1 species
CGCCGCGUGGGGGAUGACGGCCUUCGGGUUGUAAACCUCUUUCAGCAGGGACGAAGCGUAAGUGACGGUACCUGCAGAAGAAGCACCGGCCAACUACGUGCCAGCAGCCGCGGUAAUACGUAGGGUGCAAGCGUUGUCCGGAAUUAUUGGGCGUAAAGAGCUCGUAGGCGGUCUGUCGCGUCGGCUGUGAAAAUCCGGGGCUCAACCCCGGACUUGCAGUGGGUACGGGCAGACUAGAGUGUGGUAGGGGAGACUGGAGUUCCUGGUGUAGCGGUGAAAUGCGCAGAUAUCAGGAGGAACACCGAUGGCGAAGGCAGGUCUCUGGGCCACUACUGACGCUGAGAAGCGAAAGCAUGGGGAGCGAACAGGAUUAGAUACCCUGGUAGUCCAUGCCGUAAACGUUGGGAACUAGGUGUGGGUCUCAUUCCACGAGAUCCGUGCCGCAGCUAACGCAUUAAGUUCCCCGCCUGGGGAGUACGGCCGCAAGGCUAAAACUCAAAGGAAUUGACGGGGGCCCGCACAAGCGGCGGAGCAUGCGGAUUAAUUCGAUGCAACGCGAAGAACCUUACCAAGGCUUGACAUAUGCGAGAACGCGGCAGAGAUGUCGUUCUCUUUGGACACUCGCAUACAGGUGGUGCAUGGUUGUCGUCAGCUCGUGUCGUGAGAUGUUGGGUUAAGUCCCGCAACGAGCGCAACCCUCGUUCUAUGUU